rnacentral:rRNA from 1 species
GACGAACGCUGGCGGCGUGCCUAACACAUGCAAGUCGAGCGGAGAUAAGCGGAUGGUAACUGAAGUUUGUCUUAGCGGCGGACGGGUGAGUAACACGUGGGCAACCUGCCUUGGAGUGGGGGAUAACACCGGGAAAUCGGUGCUAAUACCGCAUAACAUACACAUACUGCAUGGUGAGUGUAUCAAAGGAGCAAUCCGCUUUAAGAUGGGCCCGCGGCUGAUUAGCUAGUUGGUAAGGUAACGGCUUACCAAGGCGACGAUCAGUAGCCGACCUGAGAGGGUGACCGGCCACACUGGGACUGAGACACGGCCCAGACUCCUACGGGGGGCAGCAGUGGGGGAUCUUGCACAAUGGGCGAAAGCCUGAUGCAGCGACGCCGCGUGAGCGAAGAAGGCCUUCGGGUUGUAAAGCGUCUGUCUGGAGGGACGAACGAAAAUAGACGGUACCUCCGGACGGAAGCCACGGCUAACUACGUGCCAGCAGCCGCGGUAAUCUAGUCGUACG